UACGAAGGGGGCUAGCGUUUUUCGGAAUUACUGGGCGUAAAGCGCGCGUAGGCGGCUUUGCAAGCCAGAGGUGAAAUGCCUGAGCUUAACUUGGGAAUUGCCUUUGGGACUGCGAGGCUUCGAGGACGGGAGAGGUGAGUGGAAUUCCCAGUGUAGAGGUGAAAUUCGUAGAUAUUGGGAAGAACACCGGUGGCGAAGGCGGCUCACUGGCCCGUUUCUGACGCUCAAGCGCGAAAGCGUGGGGAUCAAACAGG
rnacentral:rRNA from 1 species